AUUGAACGCUGGCGGCAGGCCUAACACAUGCAAGUCGAACGGUAGCACAGAGAGCUUGCUCUCGGGUGACGAGUGGCGGACGGGUGAGUAACGUCUGGGAAACUGCCCGAUGGAGGGGGAUAACUACUGGAAACGGUAGCUAAUACCGCAUAACGUCGCAAGACCAAAGUGGGGGACCUUCGGGCCUCACACCACCGGAUGUGCCCAGAUGGGAUUAGCUAGUAGGUGGGGUAAUGGCUCACCUAGGCGACGAUCCCUAGCUGGUCUGAGAGGAUGACCAGCCACACUGGAACUGAGACACGGUCCAGACUCAUACGGGAGGCAGCAGUGGGGAAUAUUGCACAAUGGGCGCAAGCCUGAUGCAGCCAUGCCGCGUGUAUGAAGAAGGCCUUCGGGUUGUAAAGUACUUUCAGCGGGGAGGAAGGCGGUGAAGUUAAUAACUUCACCGAUUGACGUUACCCGCAGAAGAAGCACCGGCUAACUCCGUGCCAGCCGCCGCAGUAA
rnacentral:rRNA from 1 species